rnacentral:rRNA from 1 species
UACGGGGGGGGUAAGCGUUGUUCGGAAUUACUGGGCGUAAAGGGCUCGUAGGCGGCCAACUAAGUCAUACGUGAAAUCCCUCAGCUUAACUGGGGAACUGCGUGUGAUACUGGAUGGCUUGGAUUUGGGAGAGGGAUGCGGAAUUCCAGGUGUAGCGGUGAAAUGCGUAGAUAUCGAGAGGAACACCUGCGGCGAAGGCGGGUAGCUGGGCCGACACUGACGCUGAUGCGCGAAAGCCAGGGGAGCGAACGGG